rnacentral:lncRNA from 1 species
CCACAUCCCAAACAAUUUUUGGAUGAUUUUUAUGCCAUAUGGGAUGCCCCUUAUAUAAGGAAUGAAGGGGCACCACAUAAAACACCAAGGGGCACCAACUUUUGGCAUCCCAUCUCCCUUACACGGUAUCCAUAAAUUUUUUUUUCACAAAAAUCAAGAAAAUGACAAGGAAAAGGAAGUGAUUGACUUGUAGAAAGACUCUUCCUCUACU